rnacentral:rRNA from 1 species
GACAGAGGGUGCAAGCGUUGUUCGGAAUCAUUGGGCGUAAAGGGCGCGUAGGCGGGUCGAGAAGUUGAAUGUGAAAUGCCUGGGCUCAACCUAGGAAGUGCAUUCAAAACUGACGAUCUAGAGUCCUGGAGAGGGUCGUGGAAUUCCCAGUGUAGAAGUGAAAUUCGUAGAUAUUGGGAGGAACACCAGAGGCGAAGGCGACGACCUGGACGGAGACUGACGCUGAGGCGCGAAAGCGUGGGGAGCAAACAGG